rnacentral:sRNA from 1 species
GAAGCUUAAUUUGAAAUUAAACCUUAAUAUAUUUUGUGUAGUUGUAAUGGCUUUAAAAACCUCAAGUCAAAACCAUCGUUAUAUUCAUAAACCGGUGCCUGGAUCUAUAAAGAUAUCAAAUGAAAACCCAUUUCUUCGACAAUAUCUGAGUAAUCCAAAACCUGAAUAUAAGCCGCAUAAGUACAACGGAAACCCAUUUCUUCCACAUGUUCGUAAUGUGGGGCCUGAAUCUGAUCUGGAAAAAUACGAGUAUGUUCCUUGCUGUACUUUGCAUUCUUUAGCACCUUUUUCUAAUGGAUGUCAUUACAAAAAUUAUCGUGGCCUAAGUCUUGCAAGAAACUACAACAGAAAAACGCCAAAGAGUAAACAAAAGGCAACAACGAGAAAGGGAAUUAAAUCUUCGUUGGACCGUUCUUUAUUUCGAUAUGAAAUAAAAGUACAUUAAAUAUAGCUAUAUUUCUUCGUC